rnacentral:rRNA from 1 species
GACGAACGCUGGCGGCGUGCUUAACACAUGCAAGUCGAACGGAAAGGCCCUGCUUUUGUGCGGUGCUCGAGUGGCGAACGGGUGAGUAACACGUGAGUAACCUGCCCUUGACUUUGGGAUAACUUCAGGAAACUGGGGCUAAUACCGGCUAGGAGCUCCUGCUGCAUGGUGGGGGUUGGAAAGUUUCGGCGGUUGGGGAUGGACUCGCGGCUUAUCAGCUUGUUGGUGGGGUAGUGGCUUACCAAGGCUUUGACGGGUAGCCGGCCUGAGAGGGUGACCGGCCACAUUGGGACUGAGAUACGGCCCAGACUCCUACGGGAGGCAGCAGUGGGGAAGAGUGCACAAUGGGCGGAAGCCUGAUGCAGCAACGCCGCGUGCGGGAUGACGGCCUUCGGGUUGGAAACCGAUUUCGCCUGUGACGAAGCGUGAGUGACGGUAAUGGGUAAAGAAGCACCGGCUAACUACGUG